AACGAACGCUGGCGGCAUGCCUAACACAUGCAAGUCGAACGAGACCUUCGGGUCUAGUGGCGCACGGGUGCGUAACGCGUGGGAACCUGCCUUUAGGUUCGGAAUAACUCAGAGAAAUUUGAGCUAAUACCGGAUAAUGUCUUCGGACCAAAGAUUUAUCGCCUUUAGAUGGGCCCGCGUUGGAUUAGCUAGUUGGUGGGGUAAAGCCUACCAAGGCGACGAUCCAUAGCUGGUCUGAGAGGAUGAUCAGCCACACUGGGACUGAGACACGGCCCAGACUCCUACGGGAGCAGCAGUGAGGAAUAUUGGACAAUGGGCGAAAGCCUGAUCCAGCAAAUGCCGCGUGAGUG
rnacentral:rRNA from 1 species